rnacentral:rRNA from 1 species
GAUGAACGCUGGCGGCGCGCCUAACACAUGCAAGUCGAACGAUUAAAGCACCUUAGGGUGUGUAUACAGUGGCGAACGGCUGAAUAACACGUGGGCAACUUGCCCCUUUCAUUGGGAUAGCCACGGGAAACCGUGGAUAAUACCGAAUACUUCGAGACUUCCGCAUGUAAGGCUCGAGAAAGCUCCGGCGGAGAGGGAUGGGCCCGCGGCCUGUUAGCUUGUUGGUGGGGUAACGGCCUACCAAGGCAAUGAUGGGUCGCUGGGUUGAGAGACCGACCAGCCAGAUGGGGACUGAGACACGGGCCGGAGUAGUACGGGAGGCAGCAGUGGGGAAUCGAGCAUAAUGGGCGAAAGCCGGAUGCAGCGACGCCGCGUGCGGGAUGAUGGCCUUCGGGUUGUAAACCGCUUUCAGAAGGGACGAGGCGAAAGUGACGGUACCGGCAGAAGAAGCCCCGGCUAACUACGUG